AGGAUUAACGCUGGCGGCGUGCCUAACACAUGCAAGUCGAACGAGGUAGCAAUACCUAGUGGCAGACGGGUGAGUAGCGCGUGGUCAACCUACCGUUGAGUGGGGGAUAACUAGCCGAAAGGUUAGCUAAUACCGCAUACGUCUCCGAGGGGCAUCCCUUGGCGAUAAAAGGAGCAAUCCGCUCGAUGACGGGACCGCGUCCCAUUAGCUAGUUGGUGAGGUAAUGGCCCACCAAGGCUCCGAUGGGUAGCUGGUUUGAGAGAGCGACCAGCCACACUGGGACUGAGAUACGGCCCAGACUCCUACGGGAGGCAGCAGUGAGGAAUUUUCCGCAAUGGGCGAAAGCCUGACGGAGCGACGCCGCGUGUGGGAAGAAGGCCUUCGGGUCGUAAACCACUGUCGAAGGGAAGAUAUUGACGGUACCCUUGGAGGAAGCCCCGGCUAACUACGCGCCAGCAGCCGC
rnacentral:rRNA from 1 species